rnacentral:rRNA from 1 species
GAGUGGCGGACGGGUGAGUAAUGUCUGGGAAACUGCCUGAUGGAGGGGGAUAACUACUGGAAACGGUGGCUAAUACCGCAUAACGUCGCAAGACCAAAGAGGGGGACCUUCGGGCCUCUUGCCAUCAGAUGUGCCCAGAUGGGAUUAGCUUGUUGGUGAGGUAACGGCUCACCAAGGCGACGAUCCCUAGCUGGUCUGAGAGGAUGACCAGCCACACUGGAACUGAGACACGGUCCAGACUCCUACGGGAGGCAGCAGUGGGGAAUAUUGCACAAUGGGCGCAAGCCUGAUGCAGCCAUGCCGCGUGUAUGAAGAAGGCCUUCGGGUUGUAAAGUACUUUCAGCGGGGAGGAAGGUGUUGUGGUUAAUAACCGCAGCAAUUGACGUUACCCGCAGAAGAAGCACCGGCUAACUCCGUGCCAGCAGCCGCGGUAAUACGGAGGGUGCAAGCGUUAAUCGGAAUUACUGGGCGUAAAGCGCACGCAGGCGGUCUGUCAAGUC